rnacentral:rRNA from 1 species
UACGGGGGAUGCAAGCGUUAUCCGGAUUUAUUGGGCUUAAAGGGUGCGUAGGCUGUGAGGUAAGUCAGCGGUGAAAUGCCCCCGCUCAACGGGGUGAAGUGCCAUUGAUACUGCCUUGCUGGAAUGCGGAUGCCGUGGGAGGAAUGUGUGGUGUAGCGGUGAAAUGCAUAGAUAUCACACAGAACACCGAUUGCGAAGGCAUCUCACGAAUCCGCUAUUGACGCUGAUGCACGAAAGCGUGGGUAUCAAACAGG